rnacentral:rRNA from 1 species
AUGAUCACCUUCUGCAACAUGCUGGAAAAAAGCCCCAAGCUCCGUUUCUUAAGACUACCGACCGAGCCGCAGUAUGCAAUUGGAUCGCCAGAUGUUCGGGAUGUUUCCCUCCUUAAUGGCUCCAUCAGGUUUGUUGAGCUGCUGCACCACGACCAUGGUUGGAAGGCCACAAUAUGGAGCAUCAAGACUGGUGUCUUCUCCAAAAAGUCUUGGCACAUCCAUCAUGAGCUUGAGCUUGAUUCCUCUGAUAUACCUGAACCAUCGCUGCCUAAGCUGAACGUCCAUGAAGGUGUCACGGCUCAGCCAACCUUGUCGACUCUCGACAUUGGCCUACCCAAGCUGAGUCUCCAAGAUGAUUGCAUUCUUUACCUCCUAGCCAAGAUUGACUAUCGUGACAAGGAACACACAAUAUGGGUGCUUGCUGUUGACAUGAAGAACAAGACUGUCCAGAGAGUGGCCGAGUUUAGCCCCAAAAGGUCUAUCGCCUUGUCCACCGGCUACGAUUCAAGUAGGAUCUCCAAAUAUCUCAAAGUUGGUCUAGGUAAAGGCGUGAAUACGGAAAAGACCUGUGAUCCCCCCCUUGCAAGAAGCCGAGCUGGGACCAGAGAGGAUGUCAUUCUGAUAGUGGAAGGAGUUUACAUGUGA